UUUGUGCCCCUCCCUUUUCCACAGUCUGGCUACAUCUCUCCAGCAGAGGUCCCAUCUCCUGAUCUCUUGGUGGAUGACCCUCUCCGCCCAGUGCUUGCUUGCUCUGUCUCUCAGUUCCGGUACCCACUCUGUCCUCUUCACACUUAGGAAUGGUAAAGCUAUCAGCAGUUGAAUGUCAAAUCGAUGGUUCAAAGGCAACAGCAAUGGAAGAGGCACAUCCUUGAGAGCUGCAACCUGGGCCCCAUAAAGACAACUGCGGUCCCAGAAGCAGAUGAUCCUCCUUCUGACGAAUCAUCAGACGGUCAAUAGCCGCCUUAACUUACCUCACGAUGCCUACGUCAUUCACCUCCCUUCGUCUCAUCGCAUAGGCGUUUUAUCAUCUCCCGGUAUCGCAGGAAGGUUUGUGCUGCAUGUCUCAGAUGCAUUGGCAACGCUGUGGGUAUCACUCAGUGCACCUGCUCUGUAUGCUUUACCUAGCAAGUCUCUACUGGGCAGUGUCCCUCACACCGCACGAAAACCAGCAGUAGUCCAAGAAGGGUGUUUGGGUGCUUCUUUCUAGCUUGCUGGCUCUCAUGAAGCCACUGCCAUGUGGGAGAGGUGUACAUGGCAAGGAAGUAAGGAUGCCCCCCCCGCCACCGCCCCGGCCCGACGUAGAGAAUCUGAGACAUUCAGUCCAAGAAGCCACAAAGAAAGGAAUCCUGCCAACUAGCACCUGAGUGAACUAGGGGAAGCUAGCUGCUCCUUCCUGAGUUGAGCUAUGAAGUGAAUACGGACCCAGCCAACACCUUGAUUGCAGCAUAUGAGAGGACCUGAAGCAGAGCCCCUACUGAUCUGUGUUUGGAAUCCUGACCCAUCAAAACUAGGAGCUAAUAAAUG